GAAAUGCGAGACGUAAUGCGAAUUGCAGAUCUACGCGAGUCAUCGAAUCUUUGAACGCAUAUUGCGCCCUCUGGUAUUCCGGGGGGCACGCCCGUCCGAGCGUCAUUUCCACCUCAGGCCCCGGGCUUGCUGUUGAGCGCCGCCCGAGAGGGCGCGCCUCGAAACGGUCGGCGGCCACGAAGGCCCCCUAGCGCACAGAGCAUCCGCCCGCGCUGUAGGGGGUCCGCCGUGGCCGCCAGCGUCUUACACCCUGAUCAUGGCCUCGGAUCGGGCGGGGAUACCCGCUGAACUUAA
rnacentral:misc_RNA from 1 species